rnacentral:rRNA from 1 species
AACGUAGGUGGCGAGCGUUAUCCGGAUUUACUGGGUGUAAAGCGUGUGCAGGCGGAGGGGUAAGUGGUGUAUGAAAGCGCCCGGCUCAACCGGGCGAGGCUAUGCCAGACUGCCGCUCUAGAGGACGAGAGAGGGACGUGGAAUUCCGGGUGUAGUGGUGAAAUGCGUAGAGAUCCGGAGGAACCCCAGAGGCGAAGGCGGCGUCCUGGCUCGUAACUGACGCUCAGACACGACAGCAUGGGGAG